UAUUUGUCUUUAUUAUUUGGAAGACAUCACCGAUUUCAAAUAGAAGCCUUGAGAACAUGAAAUAACCCUUUGGCUCCAGAUAUCCUACCUCAAGAAACAAAAGGACUGGUGGCAAUGUUACACAAAACUUCAUGUCUGCUAAUGGCAAUGAUGACGGGAAAGGAGAAAUUCGAGUCGUCGCGAGAUCAUCUUCCAAAGGAAAUCCAACUCACUAAUGAUCAGACUGCCUCGUGGAGAGCGUGAUCGAAUUCUUGCUAUUUUCCGUGCAGAAGCUGCGGCAUUUACCGACAUAUACAUUACUCACCAGCAAGUAAUACAUAAAUUCUAUUUAAACUUGGCAUAUUAUUCUGCAUCAAAUGUCUACCCAUUAUGCUUUUGUCUGAUUGUUUCAUGUCUUCAAGAAAAAUAAAUAUGCUUUAAUUAAAGUGUUGCUUGCCCUACAUCUAUCCCUUGAUAAACCUGUAUGAUGAACAGUUGGCACAACUUCAACAAAAUAAUGGAACGUUUUGCAUUAGGGGAAAUUUUCAUGAGGGAGAUUUGUGGCAUCAACCUAUGUUUUUUUUUUCCCUCCUGCAAUCUGGCAGUGUGGCACUGUGCGUUAAAGAUGAAAGAGCCCCCCUUACACUAUAUAUACACUUCACAUUUGUAUGUCAAGGUCUGGUAAUGUACUAUAAAAAAAAUUAGCUUGUACAAAAUUUCA